ACUGAUUCAAAAUUAUAUAGAGUCUGGUAUUGUCUCGAUCGACGUUUUAUGAAUACGCAAUAAAAAACAAUUAUAAAAAAAUGGUUUAAUAAAGGAUUAUAAAAAUGGACGAAAGAAGUACACAUUUUUUGGAUUUAGAAACGGGAGAAAUAUCGGUAUUCUUGCCAAUAUCAAAUGUCGAAACAGGGGAAAAUGAAAUCUUAUUCACAAGAAGAUUUCAAAUACCAAGUAUAUAUUACAAACCACCAAAAGACACUAAAAUAAAACACAAAGGAAAAAUUCGGAAAGCAGAUCCAUUAGAAUCUCAGUUAAUUACAGCAGCUAUAUUUCUAUUGCCGACUAUGAUAUUUUUCCAUCCAAUACUUUCUCUCCUCGUUUGCAUCGCCGAGAUUAUUAUACACAACUGGUUUCACAAAAAAAAUAAAACUCUUGAGGGCAAAUCAGUUUAUUACCAAAGUCCGCUACAUGGAAUUUCCAAGGAAAUGUGUGCAAUAUGUAAAGAAGAAAAUGCUAAAGUAAAAAUAGCUAAACUUCAAGAUAUUUCUCACGAUAAAUUCAAACAUUAUAUUAAACGAGUAGUUACUUAAAAAGUGCCGGAGUAGUUUUUGAUGGGUUUAACAAUAAAAUCCAUGUUUUUGUUUUUGUACUUACUUUUAUUAUUUGUAAAUUUGAAAUGAAAAAUAAAAAUUAUCAACUGGUUUUGAAA